rnacentral:rRNA from 1 species
UCGAGUGCGCGGUUGUAGCAAUACAACUGGCGCACGGCGCACGGGUGCGUAACACGUGGGUACCUGCCCUUUGAUGGGGAAUAACCCCGCGAAAGCGGGGCUAAUACCGCAUAAGAUCCGUAAGGAUGAAAGCCGAAAGGCGUCGAAGGAGGGGCCUGCGCACGAUUAGCUAGUUGGCAGGGUAACGGCCUACCAAGGCUUUGAUCGUUAGCUGGUCUGAGAGGAUGGCCAGCCACACUGGAACUGAGACACGGUCCAGACUCCUACGGGAGGCAGCAGUGGGGAAUCUUGCACAAUGGGCGAAAGCCUGAUGCAGCGACGCCGCGUGGGGGAUGAAGCUUCUCGGAGUGUAAACCCCUUUCGACCCGGACGAAUACCUCGCAAGAGGGGUGACGGUACGGGUAUAAGAAGCCCCGGCUAACUACGUGCCAGCAGCCGCGGUAAGACGUGGGGGGCCAGCGUUGCUCGGAAUUACUGGGUGUAAAGGGUCAGUAGGCGGUGUGGCAAGUCGGGAGUGAAAUCUCUGGGCUUAACUCAGAGACUGCUUCCGAAACUGCUGUGCUUGAGUGUGGGAGAGGCGCGUGGAAUUGCAGGUGUAGCGGUGAAAUGCGUAGAUAUCUGCAGGAACACCCGUGGCGAAAGCGGCGCGCUGGACCACAACUGACGCUGAAUGACGAAAGCUAGGGGAGCAAACAGGAUUAGAUACCCUGGUAGUCCUAGCCCUAAACGAUCAGGACUUGGGGUGCCACCCGUUCGGGUGUCGUCCCGGAGCUAACGCGUUAAGUCCUGCACCUGGGGAGUACGGUCGCAAGACUGAAACUCAAAGGAAUUGACGGGGGCCCGCACAAGCGGUGGAACAU